rnacentral:rRNA from 1 species
AUGAACGCUGGCGGCGUGCUUAACACAUGCAAGUCGAACGGGAAACCUUUUAAUGAAGCUUCGGCAGAUUUAGCUGGUUUCUAGUGGCGGACGGGUGAGUAACGCGUGGGUAACCUGCCUUAUACAGGGGGAUAACAGUCAGAAAUGACUGCUAAUACCGCAUAAGCGCACAGGACCGCAUGGUCCGGUGUGAAAAACUCCGGUGGUAUAAGAUGGACCCGCGUUGGAUUAGCUUGUUGGUGGGGUAACGGCUCACCAAGGCGACGAUCCAUAGCCGGCCUGGGAGGGUGAACCGCCACCUUGGGACCGAGAACCCGCCCCGGCUCCUACGGGAGGCAGCAGUUGGGAAUAUUGCACAAUUGGGGAAACCCUUAUGCAGCGACGCCGCGUGAAGGAAGAAGUAUCCCGGUAUGUAAACUUCUAUCAGCAGGGAAGGUAGUGACGGUACCUGACUAAGGAGGCCCGGCUAACUACGUG